UUCUGCCUCCAGGGCCAUCUACUCCCCAGGCCAUCCUGCCUGCAUUCUGAGCCCUCUAUGCUCCUGGUUGCCCCUCUGUGGAGGUCUGCUCUCAGCCUGGCAAUGCGGGUCCCUCAAGAGAUGGGCAGGAGCAGACAGGGCUCUUCCCCAGGCCUCCCCGAGCACCACCCCCUCUGGGCCAUCAGCUUGGUAGCUCUUAAAACAGAUCCUCAGUGGCUCUCCAGCCUAUGACAUCUAUCCUGAAGCCCAGCCCUACCUCACUGCCUUCUGUCCUUGGGAUCACACUCUUUCUGAGUAGGGUUUGGGUUCCAAGAGGCUAUUCUGCUCCUCUUACCAUCUAGUCCCUUCCUUCCAGGGCCCAAGGGUGGAAGGCAUGCUGCGGGCUCCAGCCCUGCUCCUGGUGUUCCUGGCUCCUGCCACACAGAUGUCUUCCAACCUACAAGGGAGAAAGAUGUCAGUCACCACACAGACAGGGCUGUCUACUGUAAUCACUUGUGACAUUAUUACACAAAACAGAUAUAUUCACUGGUACCGAUUCCAGGAGGGGAUGGCCCCAGGCCGCAUUCUCUACUAUGAUUCAUCCAAUGCAAACGUGGUAGUGGAUUCAGGGAUCAUUCCAGGGAAGUACUACGCUUAUGAAGAUGAAGACAAGAGCUAUAAGUUUGUCAUUGGAAAUAUGCAAGAAAGUGACUCGGGAGUGUAUUACUGUGCUGUCUGGGAGAGCCACACAGAUGCAGGCCGCCCCCACACUGCACUAAAAUCCUGCCUGUGGCUGCCAAGAGCAGCCGUGUGCACAGCACAGACCCGCAGCUGCCUCACUUCCUGCCCUGGCUGCCCUGUGCUCUGAACAGAGAGGAUUCCUGAGCUCAGUGCCAGUCCCCACCCUCAGAGCCCACAGCCCCCACCCCACAGCCUGAGCGCUUUCCUAAAGCUGCAAUUCCCAUUGCCAGGCCUCAGGCACGCAGUCCGGCAGCCAGCAUGUUCUUCAGCUCUCCUAGGAGCUGGCAGGUCCAUUCAGCCCGCUUCUUAGAACAGUCAAGGUCACCUGGAAUUGAUGCAUCCAGGGUGACAUUAGGAGAGCAGAGUGGGAAGGUGCUGCCCUGUAUACUUUCUUCAAUCAUCACCCAGAGGAGACAGCUGGGAAAGGAGCUUCCCCACUGCUCAGGAGUGUGAGAAACGAUGGACCGCAACCUUGGACUUCAUGAAGACCUCAAGCUGGUAUCUGAUUUAUCUUUUUCAAACUGAUAUUCCCUCAGUUUAAUCAAUCAUGGCAUACUUGAUAUAGUGAAAAUAUACAAGAAGAGUGACUGCUGUAGAUGUGCCAACCACUGUAUUGUACUGACAACUUCUUCUGAAUUUCACUCCACUGCCAGAUCUAUUCUGUAUUAAACAAGUGAAGUCAAAGCUCCUGUCCACCUCUACCCCCAACAGUGACACAGCCAAGUCCAAAACUGGAAUGAGUCUUCUCAAUAAUUUAAUAAUAAAGGACACUUUGGUUCAAAAGAUAAUGAAUAGUAUAUACUUAAAUGGAAAAGUCAUACAGGAAAGGGGUACGGCUAUCAUAUUGGGCCAGGUUUAAGAUGGGAACUUAAUACUGAAGUUCAGAAAUGCCAGGCUUAUAUGCAAAUGGUCUCUUAUGCCAGGUUCACAUGCAAUGGUCCUCCGACUUUCUUGAGAACUCUUGACCUUAAGUCUAGCUCCAAGCCCACAUUCCUAGAACAGUGUUUCUCAAGCUGUGGUGUACAAGCCAGCUGCAAAUGAAGCACCUGGGAAACUUUGAAUAAAAGGGUAGGUUCUGAGUAUACUCAACACAGCGAAUCAGAAUCUUGGAAUGAAGGCUGUAGACGUGCAUUUUCCCAUAACCUCUGCGGCUGCGGCUGAUUCUUACUCUGUAGCUGAUUUUUAAGACCUGCUGUCCUGGCAGUAAUGGAUAGAGCACAUGUGCCUUCCUGGCAGGGGCCCAUUCCCAGCCUGACACAUGAGUGCACUCUAGAAUGGUUCCUGGGCUUCCUCCCAACCCGCAGCCUCCCUCCCUAACGGCACCCCUGGUUGCGGCUGCUCUCCCAGGUCAGCACAGUUCUCCAUGAUAAUUCCACAACCAUCCACGUAAACUACAUUUCUUUCUCGUUUUGGUGACCUCCAGCAAGAUGGACUUGUAUACUAAAUGCACCAGCUUUAACUCGCUCUACUGAACCAGGGACCAGAUAUUUCAGCUAUUUUGCAGCUUUAAGAAAGCCUGUUUACUACCUUGAAGCAUAAACAUAUUCUCAUUUAUAUUUGUCCAAUAGGGUUAAGGCCCCACUCUCCACAUUUACAUCUUUGAUCUGCUUUGAAUUGAAAUUUUUUGUAUGGGGUAGAAAUCAUAAUGUGGACCAAAAUUCUCCUCUAAAUUACUGACUAAUCCAUCAUUUUAUCCGUUUUCCAUGGCCACAUUUGUGAUAACUAGCUCUCCAUAGGCUCAUCCAGCCCUUUCUGCUUUCUCUCCUUUUCCCCUGAAGGCAUCUGCUCAUGCCUGCAGCUCUCCCGAAGGACACAGCUAGGGGUGGAAUCACUGAACACGCACCACCACAAUUUUGCAGAUGGGGCUGAAUCCCUAUAUUGUGUAUCCCUGUGCCAGGAGCACAGCAUUUUCAUUACUCUAGCUUUAUAAUAAUUUUUGCUUUUUGGUAAGCAAGCUUUUUGCCUUUUUUUUUUUUCAAAAUUGUGUUGGCUUUAUUUUAUUUAUGAGUAAACCCCCAAUAU